rnacentral:scRNA from 1 species
GUGGUCCCGGGCGGCGGCUGCUGCGUCGGCUGUACGCCCCAGCCGCCAGCCCUCCCUGGACCUAGACUAUAACAGGACGCUGCUGAUGAGGCGCGUCCUGGCAGUUGCAGGUGUGAGCAUGCAUACAGCUGUCUGAUGCUCAUGUAUGAUACUGCACACAGUC